rnacentral:lncRNA from 1 species
CAUACCUUUCUACCCAUAAUCUCCAUAUACAGCAGAAAACCACCGCCAUAUUUUGUGUUGACAAGAUAGACAUUGUCUGUUCUAACCAUCAAAACAUGUCUUGGGUGACAGGCAGUUGAUUUGACAAUCCCAAUGACUCCCAGCACUUCUUAGCUUUCUCACACUGUAAAAAAACAGGUUCAAUAGUUUCCUCCUCAUCACUCUUUGGACAC